CCACCAUCUAGCACCGCAGGCCCUCUCUUGUCACACUAAAUAUAAUAAAAUCUUACUUGUAUUCAAGCCUGAAGCUGCCGGUUUUGUCCCUGUUUGCCUAAGAACAGCAAGCUGCCUGCUGACAUCAUCAGACAUGUUGCUAUGGUCCAAUCACAAUGCUUCCCCAUAGGAUUGGCUAAGACUGUGAAGGAGGCAGAUCAGGGGCAGAGCCAACACAAG